GAAAAAGCAAGAGGUUUAUUUUCAGGCCUGUCGGGGUCGACCUUCAAUUAGUCCCUCAAGGAGAGUUACUAAGAAAGCCACACCAAAUGGCUAUUACAAGCAGUUUUUAUACUUUUUAGGAGCACAGGUUCAUCAGCAAGAUUACAGUUCCAACUUAUUGGCUAAGCAUAGGAUCACUACAUCUAUUGGCUGGCAGGCACGACAGGAACUUGAACUCUACCUGGGACUUUUCGGACGGUCACUUAACUAUC
rnacentral:lncRNA from 1 species